UCCUAAUGGAGCAGUUGGUAGUCUCGCUUCCAGGUUUUUUUCGUCCCACCACUUCGUCCGGUUUUUUUUCGUCCUGGAAAAACCUACGAAAAAAACCAGGACUCGCACGCACGAGCGAGACUGCCCUCGAGCGAAAUCAAAUGAACGAGGCCCCCUCGACUCCUUUCUCGAUCUGUUUCCUAGGGUGUGAACGCCGCCGCCGCUGAUCCCAUCUUCCCCAGCGCUUAGAUCCGCAGCCGCCGGCCAUCGAGGUCGUCCAUGGAGGUCCGACCCUCCCUUUAGCCAUGGACUGAGACGCCCGAAACCCUAGCUACCCGUGGAGGUCCAACGCCUCAACCUCCAAGGAAAGGACGCGCGCCGGCUGCAGGCCAUCUCCGGCGACCUCCGACCAUGGUUGCUCGGAUCUGGACCAGCUGCUGCUCCUACUGCUUCAGGUGGACGAGGACGAGCCCUCCCUCAUGGCUGCUGCGGCUGCCUACUCCCUUGGUCACCACGCCCCUCCCGUGCCUGGGGUCUCCUUUCUCUCCCGCAGCGGCCGCAGUAGGCGCGUGUGGCUAGAAGGGUUGAGGGAGCGAGGUCAGUGCCCUCAGGGCGGACGCGGCUGGAGGUCAACGACGAGCAAGGGGCACGGCGGCGGCAGGUGGCUGCUGUAGCAGAACCAGCCAUCUUCCCGAUCCAGGCUGCCCAGGCAGGUUCCAGCCGGGCAUCCGCUGGCCACGCGCAUAAAUGUAUCAGGAAUGAGCCGGCCGUUCUACAGUUUGGAAUAUAAUCGGACGAAGAGCGGAGGAAAGUGGACCAUGAACAAUGGCGUGGCUCCGUAAUGUGGGACACCUCGCCAUUGAGGCGAGCGGCGGCUGCAUAUCCCACACCACACUUACCAUCUGCACGGGGGGCCAUGGCCAAGCGAUGAAUUUUGCUCUGCACCUAGCUGGUAGUUUCUGCCUUGGCCUGCUCUUGACCAGCGGGAUGUGAACAUUGUCCGAGGUUGCCAAACCAGAUGAAAGAACAGGGAAAGACAUUGAGCUCACUGCCAAAGAUUGUUAUUCUGCGAAGAUAUAUCUCAUCUCUAAUUAUAGUAUUUCGUAGUGUCAUGCUGAUUAUAUAGUUCAUCUUUGGCCUUGCACCGUGGUUGUGGUAAUAUUUGUUGUUUUUUCCUACCUGUACAGUUUAGGUCGGGUUUGAUCAUCUCCCCAGUACCCCAUGCCUGGCUCCCUUAAUGUUCAUAUUCCACAUUUCCUUUUUCACUAACCAGUCUCUCCAGUCUGACCUAUGCGUUUGUGUUAAUGUGUCAACAAACUUAAUUUAUUUGAAAACUAGACAUUGCAUUUCAAAAUUCGUUACAGUAUAAAGAACAAGAAAUCCAUCAUUGCAAAGAUGACAAAUAUAUAACAAAAGCAUGCACUGAACUAUUCCGAUUGUUUUUUUUAGAAUAACAAACUCAUGAGUUGGUUCAGGUAGAUAUGCGACUAUGUCAUCGACAUCGAUAUAACAAUAUAUAUUCAUUGGUCCAUUUCAAACAAUCAGAAUAUAUACUUAUGUGAAGCAGAGAGGGCACCAUGGCGAAGGUGAGGUGGGCAUCAUCCAGUUUUAAAGGGGAGGGCUCCAGCAAGAAAUGUACUGCUACGGCGAGAAACCGAGCUGGAAAGGGAGCGUCCAGCAGAAAAAUGGCAGGGUGCGUCAGGGGGUGGCAUUUUGCAGAAUGGUCUGGGGAGGUUCGCAACAUUGUCUACUCAUCUGAUGGGAAAAUCUCUAUCUGUUGCGUAUCGUGUGACUAUAGAACUGAUGCAGAGGUGCCCUUCUUUGCUUGGGAGUUUGAAUCCGGUUUGGCUCUCACCGAUCUUGCCUGCUCAGUUUUUGAGUGUAUAACCAGUUUGUAGGUCCUACUAUUUGAUCAGUGGAUGCGACUGAUGGGGGCAUGGAGAUGAUGGCGAGGCAUCGUGUUGUGGUGGCGGUGAUGAAGGUAACCUCGUCGAUGGCGGCGGCGACGGGUGGCUGUUGACGAAAGCGAUUCGGGGAUGGGGGAUGUGGAGUGGCAAGGGAUGGAGGCGUAGAACUGCAGCCGGGGAGACGGAGUGGCGGCAAGAUUGGACGAGCUCGCCUGCGGAGUGCGUGGGCAAGAUUUCCCUUUCCGGGUCAAACGAGGGCUUCCUUCUGUGUGUAUGUGUUUGUGUGUGUGCGCGCACACACAUGCGUGAGUUCACACUGAUAUUCCACUAAGUACAGCGCAUGCUUAACUGAAAUUCUAGACAAAAGUUCACAUCCGGUUGGUACAUGUAAGAAGCUCAUUUCUAAUUUAUCAGGUGGCAUAAAUAGACCAUAAAAUUAUCUUCAUUUAUAGUGCUAAAGAUAUGCCAAUACAUUUUCUUACGUUUAGGGUCCUAAACCUGUUGAAUGAAUUCUAUAUACAAGACUUACAGUUGUCCUUCUAUAAAUUAAGACUGAAUUUGCUAAUCUUUGUUGUAUUGCUAUUGAUGAGUCUAUAAUUGUCAACCUUGACAGUAACAAAACUCAAGAUAGUUUUAUCUCUUAGUGUGAGCAAAUAAGAUUUUUUAAGAGCUUUCCUUUGGAAUAUUUUUCUAUUACAGAAGUUGAUGCUCGAUAUUUUUAUCCAUUCCUGAUAUCAUUUCUUGAUCUACUACAUCAUUAACAAGAGCUUGGGAUUGCUUCAGGGAUUCUACGGAUGUUCUCCCAUAACCUCUUGAAGUGAUGCAAUGCGACGAUCUUCAACCAUGAAAAUGAAACUGCCAGCGUGGACGGAAACUGCCAGCAUGGACGGCCUACUCCUAUGAUCUCACAGGUUCUUGCUUACACUGGGAAUGAUGAGGCUAACAAGUUUUUCCUUGGAGGUGAGAUGUCACUUGACAACACGAAGGUAACUGUCUGGAAAUUCGGGACCAGUUAGAACUAAAAUCAUAUGAGUUUAUCAGUCUAGCUAAUAGUUCAUUUUAUGCUAAUGGUUUAGCAUGGCUGAGUCAUAUGUGUUUACUUCACUUAUUAAUAAGAAUUAUUUUCUCUUGCCAGCUUCAGCUGCAGCAGCGUCUUGCCUGCGUCAUAUAUUUUGUAUUAUGUUUUUGUGGGCAUGGUUCUGAACUUUGGCAUCGAUGGAUAGAAUUUCGUCCAAACUAUAAUGUUGUUGUUCAAGUGUAGGAUAAUUCGUUUUGAUGUCUCUGUUGUGUGUGCGCGGGCAUGUGCCAAAGGCGUCUAAUAGAACCCAGGUGAAGGCGAAGGAGGUUUGGCUCUCAGACAUGUGUAACACUCGAUGAUAACAACGUGCAGACUGAAAAUAUGGAUCCCAAUUUCAAAGCCAUAUCCAAUUAGUUUGUCUCUCAAAAAAAUACAACAAAUGCUAAAGGAUGAUUUACCCAUGGAGGCAUGGACCGAGAUUGCUUUAAUUUGGUCGUACAGAAGAUUAUGUUUGAUGACAUCCAAAUGGCACAAAAAACAAAACAAUUGAUAGACAAACAUUAUCUCGACAUGAAAUUUUGGACUUGCUUGCUGGUGGCUGGUGCCCUGCAGGGACCAGGUGGUGCCGUCGGCUGCGGCGCCGCCGCCACCGUCGUUGCAGCAGCUAGGCCGGGAGUAGCCGAGCAGGGAAGAAGCAUAAUUGUUUUCUAUAUUCUGCUCCUCCCACCGACCAGUUGAGGGUUGGAGUCAUCGGACAGCGCCGUCAGGCGUCAGCUAAGUUAAAGAAUUGAGAAUUGGACGACUGGCCGGUUUGUACGGCUGCUCUUAGUGCUCUGCCGAUUUGGCCUUCGGAUUGUUGCCUGCUUAACUGCUUGUGGGAUGUAUAAGCACAAAAAACAGUUCAAAAAAUUACAAAUGAAAUAUAAUAUUUCAAAAAAAAUGUUCAUCACCAUAAAAAUGAUAAUUUUUUAAAAAUAUUCUCGAAUUUUUUAUUUAAAAUACACCUCAUAAUAAAAAUAUUUGUGCUUUCUGAACAACCAAAAAAAAUACUUUCAUCUGAUGAAAUGAAAGUGCAUAGCUGAAAUAGGUAUGACGAACAUUGUUAGGGUACGACCAAAUUUCAUGGUCCAAAAAAAUCAUAGUUAAAAAAGGCGCGCCUAGAUUCUAGGCGUUGGCAAAUACUCAGUGUAAUCUUAUUUUUGACGUUUGCAAAAGUAGGACUAAAAAGUGUUGAAUAAUGGCACAUGGAGCAGGUUUUAAUUUUUUGCCCCGAGAUCUCCACUCGUCUCCUUUCAUUCAUUUUUUCUUUCCUUUUCCUGGUCGCUGGGGUCAAAGGGUAUGCAAAACUUAAUUAGGCACUGUAGAGUUGGCUGUGCGAUAGAUGCAAAACUUAAUUAGGCACUGUAAAGUUGGUUGUGCGAUAGGGGAAAUGACUUUGAUGCUUAGCUCAGACGUUUGCUUAGUAUGCUUAGAGUUGGCUGUUUGCUUAGUAUGCUUAGGGAUUGAUGUGGUUCAUGUUUUGUCUGUACCGCCCUAUUUUGGUGUUAGGUUGAUUUUCCAUCAGACAUGUCGAGCUGUUGUCGCUGGUUUAUGAUGCAUUGGCUUGCUGUAGGCUGGGUGCACAAGAUUUUGUAGACCAAAACAUGUCAAAAUUUAAUUCGGACGGGUCUUCUGCAAAUAAUUUUCAUCUUCAAACAUGCCUUGAGUAGAUUAUUUAAUCAUUUUAUAAGAAUCAAUUUAACUUUGUAUUGUUGCAGCUUCAUUAUAUAUGCACUUACCAGUGCAUCUAAAGGUUCAACAAUGCAAAAACCACCAUCAGUCUUGGCUAGAUUGACAUCAGAAGAAAGAUGAUGGUGAAUCAUGAACCACGUAUAAUCCUCAGCCUAGAUUGCAUGCUCUUUAUUUUAAAAAUCUUCCUUUAAUGGCUGUCAAAAUGGUAUGCGCAAGCAAGAACCGCAGUAUCAAUGCGAAGACUUGAGGUAGAAGGUAGUAUUAUUGAGCUUACAAGUUACUCCAUCCGUCCCAAAGUAAGUGACUCAAAAAUGAGUCAGCUUUGUACUAACUUUAGUAUAAAAUUUAGUCACUUUUGAGUCAUUUAUUUUGGGACGGGGGGAGUACAUUUUUUUGUGUGUAACAUAGUUCUUUUAUAGUAAAAUUGGAUCUCUCUAUUUGGUAUGGCUUUCUAAAUGGCAUUCGGUGUAACCUGCCAAAUCUCUCCCAUGCAUGAAUGAUUUUUUAAAGUAUAGUAUCCAAAUGAUUCACCCAUGACAUGUUCUUGAAAUUGAUUUGUACUACUGAUUAUUUAAAACACGAGUGUUAAAUUUUGUAGUAUGAAAAUAUGCUAAUGAUGCCGAGAGAAGAGAGCAUGCGUACAAUCCAUGAACAUGAUGUACAACAAGAGAUGGUCGCGGGCGCUAGAGAUUGUGGCACGGUUUAGAGGGUUGGCCGGCGGCGGAGGCGGCGACUCGGAUUUUUGCUGCGAUCCCGUGGGCGCACAGGUGCAGUGCUGUGAGGGCUGAACAUGUAGUGCGCUGGCGCCGGCUUGCAUUUCACGGACAAAAUUGUGGAUUUAUUUUUGAGGUCCCUCGUCAUUGUAAUUUGUAUGUAUUUGUACUAUGGCUUAUAAACAGCAGCAUUGCAGCCCCGACUCGUAGCCCAUAGACGCACCAAACACAACUCUCCCAAAAAACGUGCAUUGAAGAAAACAAACAAUACUUUUUUUUGAAAUGCAG
rnacentral:rRNA from 1 species